rnacentral:lncRNA from 1 species
AAAAAUUUCAUAACUCAUUUUCUCUGACCUUUUUUUUUUUUUUUUUCCUUCAUACAAUAGCAUGCAUAUAGAGGAAGACCAAAAGGGAGAAUGCUUCGACAAAAAAAGUCAAGACUAUCUUUGAAGAACUCAAGGAAAUUUUGCCUGGUCCCAUAUACCAUGUCCUGUUUUUCCUGAGCAUUUAUUCAAGGCUCAUGAAUUCAGGGAAAGAAAAUCUCUGCAGCAAUAAGCCAGCUGGAAGCGGAGAGGUCAUCAGGCAGCUUCUGGAUCCACAGAACCACAGACAUAGCUGUCUGUCUAUACAGAGAAAUAUAAAACUGAUUUGAAUAACUGCAUAUUUCAGCAGGAUUUUCAAAGUGGAGGGACACAGCACUGAUAACCCUGGCAGUGCUGGGAGGUUUUUGCAAGGACAUGCCCUCCAGCUGGAGCAUCCCCUUCAGCCGAACUCUGUAGCAUCCCAUUGUGCACUGGCUCUCUGUGAUUGAAGGAAACCCCUGUGCUGCAACUGCAGCUUGUAAUGACCCUUUCAUUUGACAUUUCAUUUUAAAUAACUCUUUUUUCUUUUUUAACUUGCAUGAGUUAAUCUCCCAUCUGACUCUCCGGGGACCCACGUCCUCACACCCCAGCUGAGCAGUCCCGUGGUGCAGCCAAACCAGCACUAACAGUGCCAACCUGCACUGAGGCUCAGCGAGGCACAGAGGGCACAUGGAGCACUAGCAUAAAGUCAAUGUCAUCGUGCUGCUGUAGUGCAAUGGAUUAACAUCUGCACUAGGUGGUUUUUCUCGUAUAGCAAAGCCAGUCAGAUUUAAUUUAAUAAGUCUGUUCUACUCUUAGGGCCAUAAUUUUAAAGCCGG